rnacentral:lncRNA from 1 species
AAGAAGACAUCUGCAGAAAGGACUCAUCUGAUUGCAUGUCAGUGCGACAAGCAGUCCUAUCUUGAACAAGUCGAGGGAAAGAGGGGAUGGAAAGCCAGGAGACCACGGCAGAGGGAGAAACAUGACUGGUCAGCCUGCCAUGGAAUCCUGCUGUUCUGAAAUCUGAGGUUCCCACUGCCUGGGUGCUGCAGGAGGAAUUGUAACUUUGUUUCACCCCAGUCAUAUUUGAUUCUUAAUAUUUUAAUUAAAACAAUUUUUAAAUUUGAAAAUCCCUAAGAAUAUUCUCUUCACUAAAUGGUAUGGAUUGGUGUGGAUUACCUACAGUUCUCGUUUACUCCAGAGAUGCUUUUCAGAACUCUUCCAUAAACGUGUAGUUGUGAAUCACUAGUUGGUGACCUUUCUCUGGGCUAUAGUUUUCCCCUAAAGAACAGCUGUGGAAUUUAUCUUCAGGAACUUAUAAGCUGAGUAAGGGAUGCCUUUGCAUUUUAAAUAUAAUGUC